rnacentral:rRNA from 1 species
GUGCCAGCAGCAGCGGUAAUACGGAGGGUGCAAGCGUUAAUCGGAAUUACUGGGCGUAAAGCGCACGCAGGCGGUCUGUCAAGUCGGAUGUGAAAUCCCCGGGCUCAACCCGGGAACUGCAUUCGAAACUGUCAGGCUGGAGUCUCGUAGAGGGGGUAGAAUUCCAGGUGUAGCGGUGAAAUGCGUAGAGAUCUGGAGGAAUACCGGUGGCGAAGGCGGCCCCCUGGACGAAGACUGACGCUCAGGUGCGAAAGCGUGGGGAGCAAACAGGAUUAGAUACCCUGGUAGUCCACGCCGUAAACGAUGUCUAUUUGGAGGUUGUGCCCUUGAGGCGUGGCUUCCGGAGCUAACGCGUUAAAUAGACCGCCUGGGGAGUACGGCCGCAAGGUUAAAACUCAAAUGAAUUGACGGGGCCCGCACAAGCGGUGGAGCAUGUGGUUUAAUUCGAUGCAACGCGAAGAACCUUACCUGGUCUUGACAUCCACAGAAGUUUCAGAGAUGAGUAAUGUGCCUUCGGGAACUGUGAGACAGGU